UGGGGAAUAUUGCGCAAUGGGGGGAACCCUGACGCAGCAACGCCGCGUGAAGGAAGAAGGCCUUCGGGUUGUAAACUUCUUUAGUCGGGGACGAAACAUGACGGUACCCGAAGAAUAAGCCACGGCUAACUACGUGCCAGCAGCCGCGGUAAUACGUAGGUGGCAAGCGUUGUCCGGAAUUACUGGGUGUAAAGGGCGUGUAGGCGGGACUUUAAGGCAGAUGUGAAAUUCCCAGGCUCAACCUGGGCG
rnacentral:rRNA from 1 species